rnacentral:rRNA from 1 species
UACGAAGGGUGCAAGCGUUACUCGGAAUUACUGGGCGUAAAGCGUGCGUAGGUGGUUCGUUAAGUCUGAUGUGAAAGCCCUGGGCUCAACCUGGGAAUGGCAUUGGAAACUGGCGAUCUAGAGUGCGGUAGAGGGUAGUGGAAUUCCCGGUGUAGCAGUGAAAUGCGUAGAGAUCGGGAGGAACAUCUGUGGCGAAGGCGACUGCCUGGACCAGCACUGACACUGAGGCACGAAAGCGUGGGGAGCGAACAGG